GAUGAAGAACGCAGCAAAAUGCGAUACUUGGUGUGAAUUGCAGAAUCCCGUGAACCAUCGAGUUUUUGAACGCAAGUUGCGCCCGAAGCCUUUUGGCCGAGGGCACGUCUGCCUGGGCGUCACGCAUCGCGUCGCCCCCCACAAUUCUCCGUAAAAGGAACAUGUGAUUUGGGGGCGGAUAUUGGUCUCCCGUGCUCAUGGCGUGGUUGGCCGAAAUAGGAGUCCUUUCGAUGGACGCACGAACUAGUGGUGGUCGUAAAAACCCUCGUCUUUUGUUUCGUGCUGUUGCUCGCAAGGUAAACUCUUUAAAAACCCCAAUGUGUCGUCUCUUGACGACGCUUCGACCGCGACCCCAGGUCAGGCGGGACUACCCGCUGAGUUUAAGCAUAUCAAUAAGCGGAGGA
rnacentral:misc_RNA from 1 species